UCAAAUGACGAGAAAAUCCGAUUAGCUCUAGAUCGGGAGUCGCAUUUGCGGCGAUGACGGUUUAACAUGUAUUAUCCGAUGA
rnacentral:snoRNA from 1 species